UGGGCAGCUCACCAGAGAGGCCAGAGGAGGCGGCAGGAAGGUGGGGUCUCUCCAGCCAGGGGCUUCCUGAAAGAGCUGCCUUCUGAGCAGGCCCCCCAGGCUAGGAAGAUGUGCACCUGCCGAGCUGGGCAGGAGAGGGUGGCCCAGUGGAGGACCCAGCAUGGGCAGAGGUUUGGAGGUGGCAGGUCCUGAGGGAAGCGGAAGGCAGCCAGGUUGUGACAGCCUGUGAGGACCUCUUGGCUCCCGGAGCCUUCUCUCUCCUGGAAUAGAGAUGACACCGUGCUGCCAUUGAACUCAACCCGAAAAAAUGAUCUGUUGCAAAGCUCACAGGAAAUAAUGGAGCAAUGUUACACGAUAAACUGUAAAGUGUGGUGAGCAUGUGAACAAGCGUCCAGGACCCAGCGAAGCCCCAGGCUACUGGGCUAGGCGUCAGAUGAGAAGAGGCAGAGGGCAACCUCCUGUAGGAUCUGAGGCCUUCAUGUGCUCAGCCCAUGGCUGUCGUCACGGUGACGUGUGCAUGCGAUGUAUCUGGGCCAUCCUUGUUCUUGAACGCGGGCAGUGAGUCCCACGGUGAUGUGGCAUGUCACGAGCUGAAGGAGGGGCACCUGCAUUCAGGCUUGCGAACCAGCGAGACAGCCUUUGGACCUUUCGGAGCCUCACUUUCCCACACUAAGAAUUGGAGUGGAAUUCCCAAGGUGCUGGAGGUUGAAAGGCAUUGAGAAUCUAAAACGCUUUGCAGACAGCAAGACCCUCUGUGAGAGGGGACCUGUGGAAUGUAGUUGAGUCCUGAGGGUGCGGCCCCGUGAUGAAAUUAGUGGCCUGAUAAGAAGAGGCCCAGAGAACCGGCUCUGUCUCUGCUCUCUGUCGCACGAGGACCCCACAAGAAGACGGCCACCUGCAAACAGCCAUUGAAUCUGCCAGUGACUUGGUCGUGGAGUUCCAGCCUCCAGAACUGUGAGAAAUAAAUGUUUGCGAUUUAAACCGCACAGUCUGUGGUGUUGUGUUGGCAGUCUGAACUGACGGAGACAGCAUCUG
rnacentral:lncRNA from 10 species